GGGCCCGCACAAGCGGUGGAGUAUGUGGUUUAAUUCGAUGCAACGCGAAGAACCUUACCAGGGUUUGACAUCCUGCGAAUCUCUUGGAAACAGGAGAGUGCCUUCGGGAACGCAGUGACAGGUGGUGCAUGGCUGUCGUCAGCUCGUGUCGUGAGAUGUUGGGUUAAGUCCCGCAACGAGCGCAACCCACGUCUUUAGUUGCCAUCAGGUUAAGCUGGGCACUCUAGCAGGACUGCCUGUGAUAAGCAGGAGGAAGGUUGGGAUGACGUCAAGUCCUCAUGGCCCUUACGUGUUGGGCUACACACGUACUACAAUGCUACGGACAAAGGGCUGCAAGUUCGCGAGGACAAGCAAAUCCCAUAAACCGUGGCUCAGUUCAGAUCGUAGGCUGCAACUCGCCUACGUGAAGGCGGAAUCGCUAGUAAUCGC
rnacentral:rRNA from 1 species